GUGGACUGCGUAGAACACUUUCUCCGAUUUCAAACAUAAAUGCCUUCGAUAUUUCGGUAAUCAAGUCAAAACUGCUGCAGCAGAAGCGUUGAUGUACCAUGAGCCCGGUCUAUGAGGUUGUGGUAGCGAGAAUGGUUGGUGUCAGUGUGCACAAGGACGAGGACGCAGAGCUAAGUUUGAACCGAUAGAAUGACCAAUUGCCUUCCCCGCGACUGACUCGCGGCAUCAUUCCAUCGAUGUAACAAGUCACCUGUCCUACUUCUCCGACCCACGGGACAAGGCCGCCAUGGAGACGAAAGUUAACUGUGGACCAAGGGCACUGAUACAUCAGGAUGAAUGCGUGUAACAGUUUUAAAUGCCCUAGGAUAGAGUGUUCCGGGAAAUAAUGAUUGAUUUGGGCUUUGAAGGUCAAGAGUCUCAGUAGACCCAUACCUUAGCCUGACAACAAUGAAUUGGGAAGGACACUAUUUCCAGAUACAUUCAAAAAUACUACACUGGUACGAGUGCCACCUGUUGCCGGAUCUCGAGUUAGAGCCUGCUGAUCUUCUUGUUGGAACAAUAUUUUGUAAAACAUCUCUCAAUAAUGUUUGUACAUCGACAGAUCAAGACACCAUUGUGUCAGUAAGAUGAACAUUUGAAUUUGU